rnacentral:rRNA from 1 species
UACGUAGGGUGCAAGCGUUGUCCGGAAUUAUUGGGCGUAAAGAGCUCGUAGGCGGUGUGUCGCGUCGGCCGUGAAAACCUGGGGCUCAACUCUGGGCGUGCGGUCGAUACGGGCAUCACUUGAGUUCGGCAGGGGAGACUGGAAUUCCUGGUGUAGCGGUGAAAUGCGCAGAUAUCAGGAGGAACACCGGUGGCGAAGGCGGGUCUCUGGGCCGAUACUGACGCUGAGGAGCGAAAGCAUGGGGAGCAAACAGG